GCCCAAGUGGCUCAGUCGGUUAAGCGUCCGACUUCAGCUCAGGUCGUGAUCUCACGGUUCGUGAGUUCGAGCCCCGCCUCGGGCU
rnacentral:tRNA from 1 species